rnacentral:tRNA from 1 species
AAUUAUAUAGUAUUAAGUACAUUUGAUUUCCAAUCAAAAGGAGAGAUUAUUU